rnacentral:lncRNA from 1 species
CAAAAAACUGUUUUUUAAGCAACAUAUUUCGGUAUCUAGGCGAAACUAGUUGUCUAUUUGAAGCAUAGUAAAAAUAAAAUUAUUUCCGACAUUUUAUAUAGAAAAAAACUCAAAAUUUAAAAUUCUGUUAGUAUCGAUAUUAAUUCUUGUAUUAAAUCCAAUAAACUAUUUACAUAAUCUGCUGAAUAUUAAUCCGAGGAUUAGCAGAAUGUCACAGCUCAUCAGAUCAGUUUCAAAACUUUGCCGAGUCAAUGAAAUUAUAUACAGAUUUUUGAGUCACAAAAGGCAGAAAAUUAUUCGACUAAAACAAAAUUUAGAACUACUCCAUACGUCCUUUCUCACUUUAUUGCCCCAUUUUCGCAUGUGGUGUAAAAUAAAUAAAAUAUUUAUUAUUUCAGCUUUUACCCUGUU